CAGCUCGGAGCCUGGUUCCUACUUCAGAUUCUGUGUCUCCCUCGCUCUCUGCCCCUCCUCCCCCUCUCUCAAGAUAAACAUUAAAAAAAAUUUUUUUAAAGAAAACCAAGUUUCAAAGAAAUGAGGUUGUUUGACCAAAGGCAUAUUAUUAGCUUAUGACUGACAAUAGAACAAAUGACAGAACUAUUGACCGAAAUAAAACUAAAAAUCAGUCUCUUGAGCACCAAGGUAAUACUUUUCCUGCUGCCCUGAAGCCCCUGCACCACCUCUGUAAGGACGUCUGCUUGUUUACACUGUAACUUAUUGGUGGCUCUAGCUCUUAUCUGCAAAAUGUGGGAAAUUAUCCUUGGCCCUAAGAAAAACUCUUAAGUUUUCUGUGAACUGAUUCAAUUUUGGUAAGCCAUGUACUCUUUGCAAGUACAUAUUUUACUUGUAUUCUGGUAUUUCUAAUACUUACUAGAUGAAAUCUGAAAAUUGGUACACAAGAAUGACCAUAAAAAAAAUUACUGUUUUCAGGAUAGAAGAAAUACCUCAGAAAUUGUAAGAAAAAAGAUGGUAAAUAAUAUAUAUGAAAAUAAACCUUUUCAAUCAUUGGAGUGGUCCAAAAGGAAACAUUCACUAAGGAGAUGAGUUCCCUUUCAAUGAAGAAGUUUAAGCAGAAGCUGAAAUACUGCUUGUCAAUAUGUUGUAUUCCAAAGUCAUAAACUAUAUGACAUUUUCAUGAGGUGAUCUGUAAAGUUUCUUCAAAUUCUGAAUUUCUAUCUUGACACAUAUAUUGAGUUGUCAGUAGACACUUCUCAUGACUAUCAACUAAAACUUCCAGAAGGCAUGUAUCACUAUUUGCUGCACUGGUUUUGGUAUUUUAUCAAUUUUGUUUUCACAUCUCUUUUAGUUUGAAAGAAUUUAAAAAUAAUUUUGGAAACUACAUGUCUUUACUAACAGCAUAUGUAAAUAUAAGAAAAAGCACCAUGUUAAAGUGCAGCCUUACAUGUUGAGCUAAUUAGCUGGUGAGUGUUAACCUUCAUCAUUUUCAAAAACAUUACUGUAUUCAAAUAGUAUCAAUUUUUAAAACAAGAAACAAUUCUGCUUAUAUUAAUUAGAAUUCAAUAUAUAAUGUGAAGCAAACCGAUGUAUUGUUUAUAAAGUUUAAAAUUCUGAUUUGCCUUUCAGUUAACUUCAUGUGAUAGUGUUUUGUCUGUCAAGCAUUUCCGAACACCUUGACGCCAUUGGAACCCUUUGUCCUUUGGCAAAUUUACCUGUUGUGGUAAAUUCUGGCCAGUUCUCAUGCUAGCUAGGAGGCAGUGUGCCAUGCUCAAAAUGAAUUGAGCCACUGAAAAAACUCCACUGAGAAGCCUUAUUCUUUUUCUGAGCCCAGCCUCAAAAUCAGAGUAACAAAAAUACUGCCAGGCAUUCCGCUAUCUCCACAGAGGAAAUUCUGGAUAAAUAUGUCAUGCAAUUAAUUUAACAGUUUUUCAAGUUCAAAUCAAUUGACAGGGAAAUUCUGGAGAGAUUCUUGUUUCCCUGUUCCUAUUUCUGUAAUUUUAUUAGCAUAUUGUGACAGUAAAAGCCAUUACUAAUAAUAAAUUAGGCCUUAAUUGUAAAUGAUAUUCUAGUGAAAUUUAGAAACAAAGUGUGUCUGGUCUCAACAUUUUCAUGUGCCUAUCAGCAUUUAUACAGACAAAAAUCAGUAUUAAGUUGUAACUCAGCAAUAGGCUUGAAAAUCAUCUAUACCAUUAUUAUUAUUAUUUUGUUGUCUCUCAUAGGGACAUCAGACAGCUGGUUUCAAAGAUAAUGGCAGUAACAAUUAUUUGCAUCAUAGCCCUAGCUAACUAGAUAGCCGAAAACAUCUGUUAUGAUCUUCAAUUCCUCUAACCUGUCCCUGGAGAGGCUUUGAUUGCUUAAAAUAUCCCCCGGUUUUUUUUUUUUUUCAUUGCUCUCUGCAAUAAUCAUUUUUGCAAAAUAUAGAUUACUUGAUACUUAAGGAAAUUGACUGUAAUGCUGCUUUUGUCUUUUUGAAUGUAAAACUGGAGGAAGGGAACAUUAAGGAAAACUUCUCAGAAAAUUAUCUUUCCAGACUUGGAAUUUUACUGUCAUGGCUUUAUUGCAUUGUCCUUUUAAACUAUGGUCAUUGUUUUCUCUGGUAUAUUAAACUCACAAAAAAUAAAGUUACUAGUAUUUUGAACUAACACAUCAGACAUUCACCAGACUAUUGUCAUUAUGAUACAUUGACACAUACAGACAAAGCUAUUUAAAAACUUUUUGGCACUCUAACCAAAUAAUUAAAUCAGAGGUAUUUGUGACACUACCAUGUGUGAGCAGUAGACCAGACUCUGGGCUGUUCAGUGCACACAAAAGUUGUAAGUCACAUGGUCUGUUCAGCACUGAUUUCAAUCUUGUAGAAGAGCUUAAAUCAUUAACAAGUGAGGCAAAAUACAAAUCCUAAACUAUAGAAUAAGUACAGUAGUGCUCAGCAGAAAGAAACCACUGUGUACAAAGGAGGUUGGAAACAGAUGAGUUUAAUCCUCAGUGGUCAGCACACUCAGAACAGCAGCAAAUCAGUCUGGGUCACCAGAGUGAGGCACUCGAUGAAUAUGUGUUGUCUGCACAAACAAAUGAAUGCAUAAGUAAAUUAAUGAAAUAGGGAAACCUUUGAGAGGAAAUGGAAUCUGAUAUGGUUUUGGAGAAUGGAUGCAAUUUUUAUAGUGUGAGAGUAUGAAAAAGGGAGAGGAAUAGUAUGGCCAAUGUUUUAUAUGAUGAUGAGGGUGGGGAUAGAAUGAAGGGUAGGUGAUGAGGUGGGACAGGGACAUCUUUGAUGGUGGGGGGGAAAGAGAUAGUAAAGAGAAAAUAUUUGUUCAGUUAUAAGGCUCAUAUAAGACAUAAUGAGAAAAAUAUUUAUGCUAGCGUGAGAGCACAUUAUAGAAGUCUAUAAUGAUGGAUUGAAGAAGUUAAUUUUAACUCAUUUUUUAAAUUUCUUCAGUAGGAAAAAAAAACCGUGAGGAACAGUGAGUAAAACAUGAAGAGAUUGGAAUUAAUAUGAACAACUUGGUCAGUUAGAUUGGCCACAUGUCAUUCACUGAAGCACCAGGUCAGCUACUUGGAUGUUAUCGGUAGGUUAUCUAGUUUACACAUGUCCAUAUCCAUGUGACAAUGGUUUGUAGCAAUUUUUAAUAAUGUGAGUUUGUUCAACACAAAGUUAACUAAGUACUUCUGUAAGCAAAGCUUAAAUGUGGACAGAAAUAUCUUAAUAAGCUAUUGGUCCUGCCUGUUGUUCUUAUAUACAUCUAUAUAUUUGGAAUGAUUUCUUAUAUAAAAGCAUCUUCACUGGCUUUUAAUAUACUAGAUUCUUAUUUCACUUUUAAAAUAAUCUCCAUUUAUGUGAGGAAAAGUAGAUUCAGUGCGGGAUAUUGAUAGCAUUCACUUAAUAGAUAUAUUUAGAGAAGAAAAAUUGGUAGUAUUCAAAAAGUCAAUAAAGUUAUUUGCUGUUUUUCUUUUUUCCAGUAGAAUCUUUUAGAUUCUUUCAUUCAAUGCUAUUCAAUCUAGAAAGGCUUUUUACAGUGCAUGUUAUUUAAACUUCUAAAAAUGAUUUAUUAUAAUUUAUACAUAGGAACAUAUAUAUGAAGACAUCUAAUACAUAAUUAUAUGCAUAUGUAAUACAUACAUAAUGAAACAUUUAUGUCUUCUGUCCUAACGAAAAAUGUAAAAUAUUUUAUCAUAUGACAAUUUAAUCUCUUGAUCAUCUUCUCUAUUUUAAGACCCUAUAUUUCCUCAUGUAAUUUACUCUUCCAUUACCAAAUUCUGAAGCACAGUUCCGAGAUCAGAACAAGGUCAAGAGCAAGGCAUGAGGGCAGAAAACAAUCUCUUUUGGUUUCUGUUAAGUUUCUCAGGAUCCACCUAAGAGUGAAACAUAUGAACAUUGGAUUAGGCUGGCAUGAACUGUUGUAUCUAUUGCGGCAACCACCUAAAUGACAUCAACAUUGCCAAUAGGGUUCACUGCCUAAAACAAAGAUCUAAUCAUGCCUCUACAGAAUGAAUCAAGAGCCUUAGAUGAACACUUGGAAUGUUUCCUCUCGUGGAAUUAAUCAUUUCAAUUCUUUGUUCCCAGAACAAUUUUGGGUCCCACUAUUCUAACAGAGAGAGAGCACAAGAAGGGGAGGGGCAUUGAGAGAGAGACACACACAGAAUCUGAUGCAGUCUCCAGGCUCUGAGCUGUCAGAUGUGGGGCUCGAACCCACGAACUGUGAGUUCAUGACCUGAGCCGAAGUUGGAUGCUUAACUGAUUGAGCCACCCAGGCACCAUUGUUCUUCACUGUUUUAAAGUAAGUUUUGAUUCUGUCACAUACUGAGAGCAAGUAUCUAAAUUAUUCAAUGUCUUCAUUUCUUCAGAUAAAAUUCACUACUAUAAAUUUUAAUACUGAUAAUAUAUUAAAAAUUAAAAUAGCCUCAUUACAGUUUGCCCCCUUGUUUGUGGAGGACAGUAUUUAGAAGGAAAAACAAUUUAUUUUGUUUCACUAAUAAAAUAAGUCAAUUUAUUUAAUGUAGACAAGGUGUUUGUUUAAGCUGUAUGAAUUGAAUUAUUUAGUAUUCAACUAGUUGUCCUUGAACCACAGAACUUUUCUCUAUUACUAUACUGUAUUUUAGAGUAGAUUCUGCAUAUUUGUAUCUACUCAUGGAUAUAUUAUCUACAAUUAAUCAUUUUAAUAAUUUAUUUUUAAGUAUAUGCUUUUAUCUCAAAGAUCACCUAAAAAACACAUGAUGUAGAAAAUGUAUAAGUGAUUAAUAUAACUAAAUCUCCUCUCCCACAAAAACACCAAAGAUAAUUCUGCUUUGUAGCUUCAUUCUUGGAGCCUACUGUGAACAAUGGACUAAUAAUAGAUAGUUUAUACUAAAGAAAGCUUGGAAUCUAUACCAGAAAGGGCAAAGAAUACUAGUGGAAGAAAAACUAAUAGAGAAGGAUGAUAAGAGUGGGUGGAGGGGGAAAUACAAGUGUCAUCAUAAACUCAUUUGGUAAAAAAAUAGGGCAAGGUUUGAAUUAUAAACUGACAGAGAUCAGGGAAGUCUUCAUAACUUAUGAGGAGCUGUGGAUCAAUUUAUGCUGAGGGUAACUUAUCAAGAGUUUUGUUGUAUGUUAAUUAUAACAUCUACUUUUAAGUGUCUUUGCAAUGUGGCAAAGAUUCUUAAUCGGGAAGAUUAUUCACUCAGUUUAGUCUGAGUAAACUAUUCCCAUUAAAAUAUGCAUAUAGUUGUAGCUGUCUUUAAAGGUGCAUUAUUAACUGCCGGUUGGACUGAUUGGACCCCCAAAAUUAACCAGCCAGAGCCUGGCAAUGCUCUGAUAUCACAAGCGUCACACACACAGAGUUGCUGAUCUCCUUUAGUGAUAAGGAACUGGUUAUAUGACUGUACAUGUGAAUGUGAUACUUUAUAGAGAGCAAAUGGAAAAGUGAAUGUAAUAAUUAGUUACUUAAAAUAAAAAUAAGUAAACUAAUAAUUGCUAGAAAUGGCAGAGAAUUACAUCACAAGAGAGGGUGAUUAAAAAAAAUAUGCCUAUUUUCUGCUUUUAACAUUGACAUUACUUGGACUAGAGCUCCCACUUCCAAAAACAAACAGACAAAAAUGACGGAAGCUCAUUUAACACCUACAGAUGACUACCAAGGGAAGUUCUUUAUAUCCCUAAUUCUCUCUCAGAUGACUUGGGAGUCAUCUUCUAGUUCAAAUUAAGUAAAAAAUAUUGUUUGGAAUCUGUUGCAGGCAAGGUAGUUUGUAUGAUAGUUGCCUUUUUAUCUGUGCCAAAGUACUAAAGUUAUAUAUAAUUAUGGAAGAACAUUUGUUGGAAUAUAUUGAACCAAAAAAAUCAUACUUAUUUUUCCAAAAUCCUAUUCAAAGUUUCAAGCAAAUCAGAACACUUAGAGACACUUAGUAAUAUAUUACGCUUGAGUGAUAAAGCAGCCCAAAAAUGUAGCUGCAGAGAAAAACCGGAGGAAAAGAAACCUCUUAUUUUCGACUACGUUGAGCAAAAUGUCCUUUUUAACCUUCUUAAUGGCACCCUCCCCUGUUUUAAAUGGAGUCAUUCUGAGUACCUGAGUUUCAUGUUUUAUAGUUUUAUAAUUUGUAACGUCUGGCAAAGAUCAAGGAUUCUCACUUUCCACCUCACAGAUGUCCUUGCAAACUGGAACAAGAUUUAAAUGGUUUACAUACAUAUAUUACUUCAUUAGUGCCUAAUUAAAAAUACGUCUGACAGCUGGCAGACAAUGAGGUGCUUCAGAUAAUCCAAGUGAACUGAUCAAGGAUGGAAAAUUGUGCUUGUACCACUUAAGUGAAUGCAUGGCAUUCAUUUAUCAUUUUUAGGAAUGAGUUUUUUUCCCCACAGACUUUAUACACUUUGUACACAUGUUGUUACUGACACAUCUAUGCUGUAUUUAGAUGAAAUGCCAUAUUUUGUGGAAUUAUAUGGAUUAUUUUUCCAUUAGAAGUUCUCAGGAAAAAAAAGAGAAAAAGUAAAUGACAGGUCUUUGUAAACAAGUCAUGAAUUUGAUCCUGAUUGCCCAAUAGCUAAUAUUAGCCACGUGUACAUGGGUUUCUCUUCUAUAUUUGUUAAGGUUUAGCUGCUAAGACUGGAAGACCCAGGAAAGAGUUGAUAUUUCAGCUAAUGUCUGUAGGCAGUUGGGAGGCAAUUCCAUCUCACUCAGAAGACCUCAGUCUUUUCUCUUAACCUAACUGAUUAGGUUAGCCCCACCCCCAUUAUGUAGGGUAAUCUGAUUUAUUCAAAAUCUGACUUACAUGUUAAUCACAUCUAAAAAAAAAUACUUUCACAUGAAUAUCUAUACUGAUAUUUGAUCCAAAAUAUAGGCUUAACCAUGUUGAUGCAUAAAGUUAAUCAUCACAGACUCAUAGAGGUAGAUAAACAUAAAAAAUUUGAAGGCAAUCUGAAUAAAUAAAGUAGGUAGGGAAUGUUAUUGGGGGGGGGAAGUAGAUUUGACUAGAAAAGAUACUAAUAGUAUAGAAGGAAUAUUAGUAAUGAUAACAGCAGUGAUUUGGAAGGCAAAAAAAAUUUAAAUCAUAGUUAGAAAGUUAAUGCAGUGCUGUUCUAGCAGUCCACCAUCUUACCCCACUUUUUGCUCUAUAAACCUUAAUCCAGGAAUGUCUGGAACUCCAGGGAAAAUCACUUGCUGGUAAAAUUCCACCUACUGCAUUUUUUUCUUGGAAUGUAGAUAAAAAUGCAAAUACUAUAAUUGGCACAGAAAAAAAAAAUCCUUCAGUGGUGGAGAAACCCCAGUAAUAAUUAGAAGAUAGAGCUCUGGUUUAUUAGAGCCAUGAACCAGCAAUAAAUUUGAGGAUGGAAACUUGAUCAAUGGUGUUGAUGCUGUUUUCUGGCUCUGUCACUGGGAAGCAGUGUCUGAAACACUUAUAUAGCUGGUUAAAAUCCAGCUGGAUCACAAACUGUUCUUUGAGAAGCAAAUUGCUAAGUUAAAAUACAUAUGAAUUAGUAUCUAUUCCUUUAUACUCAUUGAUAAUUAAAACAUUGAAGUAUAUUAAAAUAUAUGAACCAAAUCUUCAAUUACAUAAUGUUGCUAGCCAGUGGCCCACUAGCACCGCUCAGACAAUCUGGUAAGUGUCCUGUUCAUCUUUUCCCAACUCCACAUUUAGAAAUGGCAUGUUGGCAACCUGACAUUUGUACCACAGAAAGUGGCAAAGGCCACAAAUCAGGAGUAUUUGCCUCAAAGAUUGUUCAAUAUUUAUGUCACUACAUUCAAGUAUAAGUUUAUUGUUUACAAUAGAAGUAUUUAUAGAUAACAAUUUACCAUUACACAAUAUAUUUUUUACAAUUUCUUUAUCACUCAAGUAAAUUUCCAUCAAAUAGGUUCUAACAAAAUCUAGGCAGAAAAAGUUAGAUAAAUCACUCUGUCAUCCAUUAUAUAUUAAUUUGUCUCUCAUUUGUCCAUGGUUCCAAAACUCCUUGGAAUUCCCUGACUGAUAGGAGUGUCUUUGUCAUUUAUGAUGGUCCUUUAGACUGCACCUAAGUUUAUGUUAAACUUAAAGAGAAUAGGAACUGGCCUUGCCAGAAAGAGCAAGUAUAUGAUUAGAAGAUUGGGGUUUUCAAACAUGUGAUAUCAGCAUGACCAUCAGGGAAGAGACAUGGGGUUGGAGAUGAGUUCAAUCACAUAGUCAGUGAUUCAGUCAUUCAUACCUAUGUAAUGAAACCACAAUAAAAACUCUAGACUCAGGGUUUGGGUGAGCUUCCCUGUUUAACAAUACUCUGUGCAUAUUGCUACAAGAUAUGCCAGGAGGAUGAUGCAUCCUGACUCCACAGGAGAGAAUAUGGAAGAGUCAAGUUUAGGACCCUCCCACACCUCAGCUUGUCUAUCUCUUCUCUUGGCUGAUCUGGAUUUGUAUCCUUUUUUGCUACAAUAAAACUUUAAUCAUAGGUAUAAUGCUUGCUUGAGUGCUGUGUGUCAUUCUAGCAAAUUAUCAAACCUGAGGGGAAUAAUAGGAAACUCUAGAUUGAUAGGCUGUUGAUCAGAAGUGAGUGGCCUGGGAAUCCCAAAGCUUGCAGCUGGUGUCUGAAGUGAGGGCAGUCUUUUAGGAUCUGUGCUCUUAACUUGUAAAGUUUGGCCUAAAUCCAGGUAAUUAGUAUUGCACAUUAUAGACCUAAAAAUGAAGAAUCUAUAAGAAAUACAGUAUUAAGUGCAAAUAAAUGCACUAUAUUUUAUUACUUUUUUUUCACAUUUCCUAUAAAGGAUUAUUUGAUUCAACCUAUAAUACUCCUGUUUUUCUUUUAUCAAUUGUUUGCAUACACUGAUUUCAAUAACAAAGCAUAUAAGAACGGAUCAGAUAGACAUUGGAUGCAACAUAUAAUCAUCAAAAUCACUCCAUUUCUUACUAAUGAUCACCUUUGAGGUUAUUAUAUCAAAGAGGAAGAAAAAUCUAUUUUGUUCAUUAUGAAUGUGCAAAUAGAUUAUUCAGAAACUAGAAGAUGGAAAAAAGCAGAGACUACAGGAUAAAAUUCUACUUAUCUCUUAUUUUUAUUUUCUCUCUUUCUCACUCCUCUAUUUUGAAUUUUUGUCCCUUCUGUAUUUUCUAUUAUUUCCUUUCUUGAAUUGGAGCCACAAGUCUUCAAGAAACACACUACAUUAAUCACUAGAAAUAAUUUUCUGUUAAUGAAAAUAAUUAUUAAAUUAAACUUGAAAAUAUUUUUUUCCAGAAAAAGAGGUGAAAUAGCAAUGGGUAGCUUUUAAGGAU